rnacentral:rRNA from 1 species
CUCUUGCUGAAAACCAAGAAUAAGAGGUCCCGCCUGCCCUGUGACUAUAAGUUUAACGGCCGCGGUAUUUUGACCGUGCAAAGGUAGCGCAAUCACUUGUCUUUUAAAUGAAGACCUGUAUGAAUGGCACAACGAGGGCUUAGCUGUCUCCUUUUUCCAGUCAAUGAAAUUGAUCUCCCCGUGCAGAAGCGAGGAUAAAACCAU